GUUUGAGUUUUACCUCUGUCGGCACAAGAUGGCAGCAUCGUAUCAUCCAGGCCCUGGAAGACGGCAGCACACGCUAAUGAACUCACCUCAGAUAACUUUGUGACGGUGAGACAUUACGUACGUACGGGGAGUGGAUUGGACACAGAGUGGACAUUACAGCGGACAGGCCUCGCCCAGGACAUGCGGACAGCACAGGAAAGGGAAAGGGAGGAAGGACGUGGGCCGAUUCCGCCCUGAUGAGGGGAACGCAAACACCGUUCUCCCGAUCAGAGUCGGCCAUCUUUGUUGGAAGAGUCGGCCAAUUCUGGUUGAGCCUUUGCUCCCGGGUUGCCAGCAGGCAUAGAGGGGUUUUGGAGAAGCAGCGGCGGCCUGCAACCAACACCGUGGAGGUCAAAGGUCGAAUGUGCAUAUCUGCGUGCGCGUCGAAAAUAAAAAUAAAAAAGAAAGAAGAAAAAUUGAACCCGUCGCCAGGCGUCAGGUUCACGAGAGAGAGAGAGAGGGAAAAAAAAAUUAAAAAAUCAUCAUGGCUCCUUUGUCUUUACCUCGGUUCUGACUGUAACUAGUCCUCAAAAAUGUAUAAAUAAUCACUGAGAAAAGAAGAAAAUAACUUUCAAACAAACUUUUUGUGUGUGUGUGUGUGUGUAAAAAAGCUACCCAAGAUAGCUACUUCCUUCCAUUGUUAAAAAAAAAAGAAAUUGCACAAAGUAAUGGCGGUAAUGGAAGCGUUCAUGUGUGUCAAAGAAAAAAAUUAAUUGUAAUAAAUAAUAAUACUUGAAAGCUAACAUAAAAAUCUUCAAAAAAAAAAAAAAAAAAAGCAAGAUAACAAGAAAAAUUAAAAAUUAAAACAAGGCGUGUGUGUCUCCCUCAGGGUGGUUGUUGUAGGUCGUCUCCCCCUCCCUCCCACAUCCCUCCCUUCCCUCCCAUUAACCC